rnacentral:rRNA from 1 species
GUCAUUACCAACUGGCAGGAAAAACGCUGGCAGCGAUUUUUUAACAGCGAAGAACCGGGAAAUAUCGAACCCGUCUACAUGCUGGAAAAAGUAGAAAAUCAAAACCAUGCCAAAUGGGAGGUCCAUAAUUUUACCAUGGGCUACCAACGGCAAGUAACCGAAGAUACUUACGAAUAUUUGCUGCUAAAUGGUGAGGAAUCUUUUAACGAUCUCGGCGAGCCAGAGUGGUUAUUUUCGCGCGCGUUGGGUGUCGAUAUCCCGCUGACAUCACUUCAUAUUAUUGGUUAAUUACAAGGACGUUUACAAUGCAUAUACUGGAUUCACUUCUUGCCUUUAGCGCCUAUUUUUUUAUUGGCGUGGCUAUGGUGAUUAUUUUUCUGUUUAUCUAUUCUAAAAUUACACCGCACAACGAAUGGCAGUUAAUCAAAAACAAUAAUACCGCGGCAUCACUGGCGUUCAGCGGUACAUUGUUGGGGUAAUGACUCCAACUUAUUGAUAGUGUUUUAUGUUCAGAUAAUGCCCGAUGACUUUGUCAUGCAGCUCCACCGAUUUUGAGAACGACAGCGACUUCCGUCCCAGCCGUGCCAGGUGCUGCCUCAGAUUCAGGUUAUGCCGCUCAAUUCGCUGCGUAUAUCGCUUGCUGAUUACGUGCAGCUUUCCCUUCAGGCGGGAUUCAUACAGCGGCCAGCCAUCCGUCAUCCAUAUCACCACGUCAAAGGGUGACAGCAGGCUCAUAAGACGCCCCAGCGUCGCCAUAGUGCGUUCACCGAAUACGUGCGCAACAACCGUCUUCCGGAGCCUGUCAUACGCGUAAAACAGCCAGCGCUGGCGCGAUUUAGCCCCGACAUAGCCCCACUGUUCGUCCAUUUCCGCGCAGACGAUGACGUCACUGCCCGGCUGUAUGCGCGAGGUUACCGACUGCGGCCUGAGUUUUUUAAGUGACGUAAAAUCGUGUUGAGGCCAACGCCCAUAAUGCGGGCUGUUGCCCGGCAUCCAACGCCAUUCAUGGCCAUAUCAAUGAUUUUCUGGUGCGUACCGGGUUGAGAAGCGGUGUAAGUGA